CAAACGACUCUUUUCAGAGCCACCCAAACAUUUAUUACGAAAGAA
rfam:Harpegnathos saltator strain R22 G/1 HarSal_1.0_3.contig679, whole genome shotgun sequence.